GACGUAGGGGACGAGCGUUGUCCGGAUUCAUUGGGCGUAAAGCGCGCGUAGGCGGUUACGCAAGUCGGUUGUGAAAAUCCGGGGCUCAACCCCGGACCUGCAUUCGAUACUGCCGUGCUUGAGGACUGGAGAGGAGACUGGAAUUUACGGUGUAGCGGUGAAAUGCGUAGAUAUCGUAAGGAAGACCAGUGGCGAAGGCGGGUCUCUGGACAGUUCCUGACGCUGAGGCACGAAGGUCAGGGGAGCAAACGGG
rnacentral:rRNA from 1 species